rnacentral:rRNA from 1 species
CACCGGCAGCUCUAGUGGUAGCUGUUUUUAUUGGGCCUAAAGCGUUCGUAGCCGGUUUGAUAAGUCUCUGGUGAAAUCCUGUAGCUUAACUGUGGGAAUAGCUGGAGAUACUAUUAGACUUGAGACCGGGAGAGGUUAGAGGUACUCCCAGGGUAGAGGUGAAAUUCUGUAAUCCUGGGAGGACCGCCUGUUGCGAAGGCGGCUAACUGGAACGGUUCUGACGGUGAGGGACGAAAGCCAGGGGCGCGAACCGGAUUAGAUACCCGGGUAGUCCUGGCCGUAAACGAUGCGGACUUGGUGUUGGGGUGGCUUUGAGCCGCUCCGGUGCCGAAGGGAAGCUGUUAAGUCCGCCGCCUGGGAAGUACGGUCGCAAGACUGAAACUUAA